rnacentral:rRNA from 1 species
UGCUUGCACACCGUGUUUUCUUGAGUCGCGAACGGGUGAGUAACGCGUAGGUAACCUGCCUAUUAGCGGGGGAUAACUAUUGGAAACGAUAGCUAAUACCGCAUAAUAUUAAUUAUUGCAUGAUAAUUGAUUGAAAGAUGCAAGCGCAUCACUAGUAGAUGGACCUGCGUUGUAUUAGCUAGUUGGUAAGGUAAGAGCUUACCAAGGCGACGAUACAUAGCCGACCUGAGAGGGUGAUCGGCCACACUGGGACUGAGACACGGCCCAGACUCCUACGGGAGGCAGCAGUAGGGAAUCUUCGGCAAUGGACGAAAGUCUGACCGAGCAACGCCGCGUGAGUGAAGAAGGUUUUCGGAUCGUAAAGCUCUGUUGUAAGUCAAGAACGUGUGUGAGAGUGGAAAGUUCACACAGUGACGGUAGCUUACCAGAAAGGGACGGCUAACUACGUGCCAGCAGCCGCGGUAAUACGUAGGUCCCGAGCGUUGUCCGGAUUUAUUGGGCGUAAAGGGAGCGCAGGCGGUCAGGAAAGUCUGGAGUAAAAGGCUAUGGCUCAACCAUAGUGUGCUCUGGAAACUGUCUGACUUGAGUGCAGAAGGGGAGAGUGGAAUUCCAUGUGUAGCGGUGAAAUGCGUAGAUAUAUGGAGGAACACCAGUGGCGAAAGCGGC